AAUCACAUUGUUUAAGUGAUAGUUUUGUUUCAUGUCUACUAUCCAAUGUGAUACUUUCCUAUAUGAUUCAUUUGAAUAUGAUUUGGAACAAACUUCCUAAGUCAUAUUCAUUUGCUUUGGCCAAAGACUUUAGAAUCAUAUCUUAGAGUAUUCUCCCUCCACCAUGGAAGGUUAGAGAUCCCUUGUUGUGCAUUCAUAUGCCUACAUGACUAGAUAGCUGGACCCCAACAAUGCCGUGGACAAUCCGAAGGAAUGCCGUUGACAUGAUCAAAGAUCAAGGACCUAACCAUUAGACAUCUAUGAUGCCUCAGGUCAAAUGACUACUUUGCAUAUUGUAACUUUAGAGUUCAUACAUGACAUG
rnacentral:lncRNA from 1 species